CAGAGGAGCAAGGCUGCAGCGCCCAGGCUCCGCCUCCAAGCCCGGCGCCCGCUAAUGGUCCACUCUGUUUACUUGUGUUUGGAUAGCAACUGAGUCUUAAAGGCGCAGGUUUGCUUGAGGUUUUCCCAGUUAACCCAGACACAGAGCCCAAGGUGACUCAAUUCAAACCUCACACAAAGACAACGCCCAUCCCCUCUUUUUGGAUGACACUUUCCUCACACCGAUAGAAGUCCGACUACUGGAUCUUUGCUCCCCCAAGCCCGCAGAGAAGUCCAAAGGGCAUUUCGUACUUUUACUCGGUUAGCUGUCGCGUCAUUUUACACAUCUUAACACUUUUAAUAUGAUCAUCUGCUUCAAAGGGCCAAAGCUAUCAGUUUUAGAUUUUGUUUUCCAGCAUAUACCGCCCUUCCUCCUAUGUAAAACAGUUCUGCCCAUACUUUUGGUCAAUUGUGACUAUGUGUGUAGUCUGGUUUCCUCCCUGUUUUCAAAACGAAGUUUGUUUAUGAAGGUGACAAUUGACUAAUUUCAUAAUUAGUGCAGAGACAUCUGGAUGUUCCGGGAGAAAUUUCUUUCAAUAUCUAAGCUUUAAUCAGCUAAUGUACAUUUCAUAAGCAGUUAACCAACUUAGGCAAAGGAGUGGGCAUCUGCAAUCCAUUGGCAAACAAUAACCUGCCCAUCUGGAAUGGGUGAAGAACAAUCUUUUUUAAAUUUUAGGAAAAAACUAUUCCAGUGCCUCAAAACGUGCAUUAUCUUCAUUCUCAGCAAAAAUUGAGUUCAUUGUUCAGCCGCCAGGAAAAUUGAUUGAAUUUGACAUGUACUGUUAGGUUUCUUAGUUCUCCUAAAGGUUUAGUUUUGUGAGCGUGUAAAUGAGAGGGUAUUACAGUCCCUCUGGAAAAGGAUGUCAGGGAACGAUAAGAUCCACUUGAAGCAACUUCUUUUCAGACGCAACGCGCCGCCGGAACAGAACUAAGCAAACUGUCCCUCGUCCCAAACCACUUGAGGACACUUUAGCUGGUGCUUGCAGAACCAUAGAUCUUUUAAAGGAACUGUACAAUUCAAACGUGUUUCACCAAAAGAUGCUUUUCGGUCGCCCCCUCAAAGGACAAUUACAAUAACCUCAACUAUGUGAGGAGAUGGAUAGGUGUAAGCAGAAAGCUACGAGCCGAGCCGAAUCGUCAAAGACCAAGCAGGAAGGCAGGCAGACACUACGGAAACGAUCCCAUUAAGCACCUCUCCUCUGUGGGAGCAGCCUCUUCAACAUCUGGAGGACAGAUGGCACAUGCCACUCAGUACUGAUUGGUCUUCGAUGCAUCACAUAAUAAAACCAAUUAGAGUCAUUUAUUGCAUGGGAUUUAUAUGGAUGCUGGGGGAGGAAAGCCCAUUCCCUCCCAUGUUAUCUGAAGUAGUCCUUUCUUCUACAGUGACGUGAGGACCCAUUGACAGCACCAGGAAGAGGCUGCACAAAAUUGGUUAAGAACGCCCCCCGCCCCAACAAUCUUCUAGUGCUUCUAUAAAGAGCUCAGGAUGAGAAGUACCAUAAUAACUUGGAUAUCUUUGGUAAAAUGUGCAUACCAGCUCCUGUUUCUAGCAUGGAUCAGAGCAGCCUUGCAAAUUAUGUUCCUGUUACAGGAUUACCAGCUGCUGUCCACAGAGGAGCUGCUCUCCAUAGAGAAACCUGAUGGGAAUGUUUACCAACUGGACCCUGAAGGUGAAAGUCAGCCUCACCCCAAAAUUGAUGAGGUCCCUAAACAGCAGGAAGCAGUUUAAGAGACAUGACGCACCUAUUCCCUUUUCAUCAUCGGCUUCCCCCUCCCCUUUUAUUCUUUCUCUUUAUGAUAAGAAAAAGGGAGAUAUGUUGAUAACAGGAACCUGUGUAGCAGAUCUUCUCUGAACCCUGUGGCAUCACACAUAGGCAACAGUGACCUGCACAUCUGUUGCCAUGGCAACUGUCAUACAUUCCCAGAAUCCACUUGGCUCACCUCCCACCUUUAACUGCGAGAGGCUAUGUCACAACCCAAAUAAAAGGCAGACCCUUCUGACACCCCCCAUCUGUCUCCCCUUUGUCUCCAUCGCCACCUUUGCCCUCUUCCCCCACAAUAAACCCCACAUG